GUUUGUAAUCGGUUGUGGUGAUUAAUAGGAUGAAAGUGAAAGACUGAUAGGAUCCUGGUGUUGGUAUCCCAACAAAGAAAAGGGAUUCUAGUCUUUUUAGACAAUGCUGCUACACAACUUGUUCACAUACUCCCUGUGGUGAUAUUUUUUUGCUGAAACUGCUUUGAAAAAUGGGCAAGAGAAAGGUGAAAGAAUGUGUCAAGUGUGGCAAACAUUCUGAGGAUUAACUCAGCCCUCUUUGUUGCAAUACGUGUGCGAAGAUAGCACAGUAAAAAUGGUUCAAGGGAGACUGAGGAGACAGUCUAUGGACAUGUUCAUAAUCAGAAUAAAUCAGAUAAAGCUUAUACAACACAGCGGGCAAAUAAAUCUGGAAAGGCCAAUGCUUGCAGUGGAAAGAUCUUUGUCACUGUCCCACACUGGCUGGAAGAGAAAAAUUUUGAUGGGGCGUUUUUCGAAGGGGCAUAGGGACAAAUGAUAUGUUGACACAUGCAUUUGAUUUUAAUGAAUUCUAUUUCCAAAAAUACCAACACCAAUUAAGAAAACAAAUUUUCUCUCCAAAAUUACACUUCUUCUAUAUUUUUGGAAAUAUAAUUUAUUAAUAUCAAAUGCAGGUGUCAACAUAUCAUUUGUUCCUCGUGCCCCCUUCAAAAAACGUCCCAUCAAAUAUUUUCUCGUGGCUGGAAGUGACCCUGAAAGGAAUCAGGGAAUUCUAGUAGGAGAAUCCCCUGAAGAUAGAUUCACAUGCAGGCAAUGGGGAGUCCACUUUCCUCGUGUUGCUGGAAUUGUUGGACGGUCCAAGCAUGCUUCACAACCCAUUGCUCUAUCUGGAGGAAAUGCAGAAAUGGAGAGUCUCUACACAGGAAGUGGGGGCAGAAACCCCAGUAAUAACAAACGCACAAACAAACGUCAAAAGUUUGAGAAACCCAAUGAAGCCUUGCGUGUGAGUUGGAGGAAAGGAUCCAGUCUGGGUUGUUGGGAGGAAGAAAGUCGCUGGAACUGGAAAAAACCUCCAUCUUCCAGUAAAAAACCUGUGGUGACACAUAAUCCUGAAGACUGCAAGGGAGCCAGGAAAGAAGGGGAUAAGGCGCAGAAUCUGUCCGUUAGAGAUAAGUCUCUUUCAGUUUCUGGUCAUGCAACUAUGUGCAUGGAGAUGCAAAUCACUUAGCAGACUCAUCAGCUAAGUAUGCAAGAACUCAUUUGCUUUGCUUUCACUGGUACAACAAUACUCCUGACUGGGUUUCAUACUUGAUUCAGCAGGAUAAAUCCUUCCUGUAGUUGUUUUAUUGAAUUAAUAUAUUUAUCCUUUCCUAUUUAAAAUAAUUAAAAAAAAAAAAGAUAAGUCUCUCUCUCUCAUACCUCAAAUCUUCCAGUCAUGGAACACCUAUCUGUUGAGUGCAAUAGAAAAAAAAAAAUUCCUUUUCCACCGGGAUAUCCUCCUUUUUUACCACGUUCUAAAUACGGUGGAAAAUCUUGUUGAUUAACGAAUUGUUAAUUUUACUUUAUCUUGCUGUUAAGAUCUAAAGGCCAAACUUAAUCUGUCAUAAUCCAACAGUUGUUGCAUUAUCUUAUCUUUGGUAGAAGAUCUUUUAGAAUAAAGUUUUGGAUUCAUCGACUUAAUUUAGGGUUUAGGUAUGGUGAUAGACUUGCAGUAUAAAUAGUUAUCAUAGUUACACCUAAACCACAGUAUAAUCUUUACUAAUCAACUAAAUGAUGGUAUAUCCAUGGGAAUUCGGUGGUGGAAUUAUCACCCUUAUGCUCGAGCAUGAUGAUAUUUCCUCUCUAAACCAUGUACCAGAUCGGCUUCUAAUUCUUGGAAGGCUCUGGUGGGACGAGACCAUCCCAACAGCAGUUACCGGUCCAUAUAAUCAAGGCUAUACCACAACCUGUUUGUGAGAUGCCAUUGGGUGCAAAUGCAAAGGAGCGCUUGCACGUACUCAAUUGUAGAAGAAGGGGAGGUUAAGUUAAGUAAACUGGAUGAACUUCUCACACAAACAACGAAGGAGCUCCACGAAAGAGAGAGGAGACCAGGAAAUGUUGCCAUAAAUCCAAGUGUUUGAAACACUUGGAUUUAUGGCAGCCUUUCCUAGUCUACCCAGUCUCCGGUUCUUGUGCAAACGAAUCUGGCAACAGACUUCUCUGUGCUCUGUAUUUUUCUUCUUCCAUGUUUAGCUUUGUCUAAACCUUUGUUCCUUUGUUUUACUUUCACCGUCUCUGGUCAUUUCAAUUCCAAUGAAUGUUUAUUCUGCUGGUGCUAUCUUAGGUCCUAAUAUAACCAUUUUUUAAUUGAAGAAGAUAAGGCAUGUUCAAUUGUGAGGUUUA